GCCGGUUACGACGCUAAACCUACAGGGGCGAGUUUGGGUCGUGACAGAUUUGGAUUACAGUGAUCAGGCCCGUGAUCAAGCGCAUGACCAGGUUUAGAGGCGUUUGCCUGGACUCUGUUUUUGUCAGCCAACCUAUGCAUCUCCCGUGGAGGUUCUGGAUAUGUCAAGUGUCAAGGCUAUGUAAUUAAAGUUUAAGUUUUUGUUUAUUCUAUAUAUAAGGUUAAGUCCCUUUUGUCUCAUUUGUAUAUAUAUAUAUAUAUGAUGAUGCAGGAAUGAUGUGAUAAUAUACGUAUAUAAAAAUACAAAAUAAAAAAAAAAGUUUAAAUAUUUUCUGUCUCAUGUAAGUCUGCACAGCUCAAUGGACGAUGUAUGUUUGUAUUUUGCUUCCGCUAGCCACUCAUAUUAUGUAUCUAUUUAAGAGGCCUUCGAUAAUCUUAGGAUUAUUGGCCAGUCAUGAUGCUAAACCUAUAGGGGUGGGUUUGGGUUGUGACAUGGUAAAUCUAUUUUAAGGAAACUGUGGUAUCACACAA